rnacentral:tRNA from 1 species
GAAAAUAUAGCAUAGGUGUAAUGUGUUCCGUUUACAUCGGAAAAAGACUUAAUUAUAAGUUAUUUUUGA